CCUACGGGGGGCAGCAGUGAGGAAUAUUGGUCAAUGGACGAGAGUCUGAACCAGCCAAGUAGCGUGAAGGAUGACUGCCCUAUGGGUUGUAAACUUCUUUUAUAUGGGAAUAAAAUGUUCCACGUGUGGGAUUUUGUAUGUACCAUAUGAAUAAGGAUCGGCUAACUCCGUGCCAGCAGCCGCGGUAAUACGGAGGGUCCGAGCGUUAUCCGGAUUUAUUGGGUUUAAAGGGAGCGUAGGUGGAUUGUUAAGUCAGUUGUGAAAGUUUGCGGCUCAACCGUAAAAUUGCAGUUGAAACUGGCAGUCUUGAGUACAGUAGAGGUGGGCGGAAUUCGUGGUGUAGCGGUGAAAUGCUUAGAUAUCACGAAGAACUCCGAUUGCGAAGGCAGUUCACUGGACUGCAACUGACACUGAGGCUCGAAAGUGUGGGUAUCAAACAGGAUUAGAUAUCCUUGUAGUC
rnacentral:rRNA from 1 species